rnacentral:rRNA from 1 species
UAAUACGUAGGGAGCGAGCGUUAUCCGGAAUUAUUGGGUGUAAAGCGUGUGUAGGCGGGAAAUUAAGUCUAAGGUCUAAGCCCGGAGCUCAACUCCGGUUCGCCUUAGAAACUGAUUUUCUUGAGUGUGGUAGAGGCAAACGGAAUUUCUAGUGUAGCGGUAAAAUGCGUAGAUAUUAGAAGGAACACCAGUGGCGAAGGCGGUUUGCUGGGCCACUACUGACGCUGAGACACGAAAGCGUGGGGAGCAAAUAGGAUUAGAUACCCUAGUAGUCCACGCCGUAAACGAUGGAUACUAAGUGUCGGGCAACCGGUGCUGAAGUUAACACAUUAAGUAUCCCACCUGAGUAGUACGGUCGCAAGGCUG